GAGGCGGGAGCGGGAGCGGUAGGCCCGGCCCCCGGAGGAGGGGGCCGGCGCCGGAAGCCCCCUGCGCUCCGGGAAGCCAAGAGAGGAGAGCGCCCGGUCCAAGGACAAAGCUUGGAUCCAGGUCCAGCCCUGAGCUUCCCGGGCUGCACGCGUUUCUGGGGGUUGUCGCCCUGGUUACAGAUAGUUGGGAGCAUGCCUUUUCUCUCCUCGCUAGACCACUGUUAUUCAGACCUGGAGACAUUCAAAGAAGAGUAUAAAUUGAACUGAAUUGAGAAAGGGAAAAGUUUAGGACUGCAAGGACCUUAGAAUUCCUGGGAACUUUAACCUGGAUGGAGCAAUUAAGAACUAGUUGACGACAGAGGGCAAAAUACACCUAGUAGCUGGAUCCAGAAAGUCUUAGGUGAGGAUUUUCCCUAAUAUUUAAAUUUCUCAGCACUGAGGUCCCUGCUACUGAAGUGAAGUGGGCCCAGGGAAGCUAGAGAGAAAUUUAAAUGCCUAGAAAGGGGAUGAGAAAGCAAAGAGAAUGCGUCCUUGGAAGAUAGCCUUGUCAAAGACUGGCAGGUGGCAUGGAGGGAAGAGCCCCAGAGCACAGCCUCUGGACACGCAGGCUCAACGGCCAUGGCUCACGGGCCCAGCCGCUCCACGGCAUGUAGGAUCUUCCCGGACCGGGGCAUGAACCCGUGUCCCCUGCAUCAGCAGGCGGACUCUCAACCACUGCGCCACCAGGGAAGCCCUGCCUGUUUUUUUAAUAAAUUUAUUUAUUUAC